AUUUCAAGUAUUAGAGGCAUUGCCUGCCCAGUGACUAUAGUUUAACGGCCGCGGUAUCCUGACCGUGCAAAGGUAGCAUAAUCAUUUGUUCCUUAAUUAGGGACUAGUAUGAACGGCUAGACGAGGGAUCAACUGUCUCUUAUUUUUAAUCAGUGAAAUUGACCUUCCAGUGAAGAGGCUGGAAUACAAUAAUAAGACGAGAAGACCCUAUGGAGCUUAAAUUAAUAAGCUUAAUUAUUAUAUCAACACCCUAAUGGCACAAAACAAAAAAUUAUAAGCUUAAAAUUUUGGUUGGGGUGACCUCGGAGAAUAAAAGAUCCUCCGAACGAUGUAUGACAUAGACCUACAAGUCAAAGUAACCCARUUAUCCAAUUGACCCAAMRAUUGAUCAACGGACCAAGUUASCCUAGGGAUAACAGCGCAAUCCUAUUUAAGAGUNCAUAUCCGACAAUAGGGUUUACGACCUCGAUGUUGGAUCAGCACAUCCCAAUGGUGCA
rnacentral:rRNA from 1 species